CAAUAGCGUAUAUUUAAGUUGUUGCAGUUAAAAAGCUCGUAGUUGGAUUUCGGAUGGGACUUGCCGGUCCGUCGUUUCGAUGUGCACUGGCCAGUCCUAUCUUGUUGUCGGGGACUAGCUCCUGGGCUUCACUGUCCGGGACUAGGAGCUGACGAGGUUACUUUGAGUAAAUUAGAGUGUUCAAAGCAAGCCUACGCUCUGAAUACAUUAGCAUGGAAUAACACGAUAGGACUCUGGCUUAUCUUGUUGGUCUGUGAGACCAGAGUAAUGAUUAAGAGGGACAGUCGGGGGCAUUCGUAUUUCAUCGUCAGAGGUGAAAUUCUUGGAUUUAUGAAAGACGAACUUCUGCGAAAGCAUUUGUCAAGGAUGUUUUCAUUGA
rnacentral:rRNA from 1 species